UGUAUAUAUUUCUCCUCGCCGAGGCCCCAAACCACAGACAUAUGGUGCUAGUUCAAUGCCCAUGUUUCUGAUGAUCCUGCUUCUUAUCACUGGCAGCCUGGUUCGUUCGGCUGCCAUCUCCGAACCUUCGAUUGCCAUCCCCGACGACGGCGGCGCCACGACGGUGUUUCCCGGGGCCAGCAUCCGCCUACUCCAUCGAUAGUUGGUUGUACCAACGACCCUUACAUUGUUACCAGUUGUGCUCCUUCACAUCGUGCUUACCAGUGCAACAGGCCACCAUGUGUCCAUAUCGUUCAUGCGAGCACCGCGGAGCAACGUUUGCCUUAAUUAUGUACUUCCUCAGUUUUAUAAUAUAAAAUAGUUUAGGUUUUGAAUAAAUUAAUGCAUGAAUUCAUGUAUGUGUUUUAAUGACAUAUACAAAUUCAUAUAAAUGUUAGUGAAUCUAGACAGGUAAGGUAAGAGAGAAGUUUAAAUGACUUAUAGUGUGUAACAAGCGUGUUGGGAGUACGUAUAGGUCCCGGUAUAUGCGAAUUUCUGUACCUUUUUAUCUUAUGUAUUUAUAUGGUCCUAUUAAGAAGUGUCUUUUGUUCGUAUGCGUCGCAGUAGUUGGCCCAUUGUAAUCGGCUAGAUGGAUCCUGUAAAUUGUUAAUGAUGUACAGUGUAUAUAUGAAGAAAAUAAGAUUAAUUUCAACUGA